AUUGAACGCUGGCGGCAGGCCUAACACAUGCAAGUCGAACGAGUGGCGGACGGGUGAGUAAUGUCUGGGAAACUGCCUGGUGGAGGGGGAUAACUACUGGAAACGGUAGCUAAUACAGCAUACCAUCAGAUGUGCCCAGCUGGGAUUAGCUAGUUGGUGGGGUAACGGCUCACCAAGGCGACGAUCCCUAGCUGGUCUGAGAGGAUGACCAGCCACACUGGAACGGGGACACGGUCCAGCCUCCUACGGGAGGCAGAGGUGGGGAUUAUUGCACAAGGGGCGCAAGCCUGAUGCAGCAAUGCCGCGUGUAUGAAGAAGGCCUUCGGGUUGUAAAGUACGUUCAGCGGGGAGGCGUUACCCGCAGAAGAAGCACCGGCUAACUCCGUGCCAGCAGCCGCGGUAAUUC
rnacentral:rRNA from 1 species